CAGAACAUAACUUUACACCUUUCUUCUUCACAAUAAGUUCUCAGCCUAUUUGUGGUAGUUGCGAUUUUGCGGCCGUUAUUUAGGCUCCUCAUCGACGAAUGACGGCAGGUUCUGCUUAUCGGUAUUUUGUUCUCAAAAUUUUCCGAUUUACUGUUUGUCGUCGUCGAACGUAGCGCCAAUUCGAUUUUAUUACAAUAUUUAUUUAUUUAACUUACCAAAGCAGAAAAAGCCACGUGGGUAUCUUUCUCCUUGUCUAAAACCCUACCAAUAGAAGUCGAACUUAAAACCAUAAACCUCGUUGCUAUUUUUACCUUAAAAAAAUGGCGGGUCCUCUGCUUCGAACUCUCUGGUCCUCCACCAGGAAGUCUAUAUCUUCUUCUUCUUAUUCUUCCUCUUCCUUACUAUACAAGCACUACCUUUCAUCAAGCGUUACACCAUUUAUCCCACGCGCCACCACUGGCGUCACACGAGCCUUCUCCGCCGCCUCCUCCACUGCAACCACCUCGGCUGCAACAGCACCGAAUUCCGCCUUGGACCCUAGCCGGUUACGUAAUGUUGCUGUGAUUGCACAUGUCGAUCAUGGAAAGACGACACUGAUGGAUCGAUUGCUUAGGCAGUGCGGCGCCGAUAUUCCUCACGAACGUGCCAUGGACUCCAUUAGCCUUGAACGCGAGCGUGGCAUCACCAUAGCCUCUAAGGUUACUUCAAUUUCAUGGAAAGAAAAUGAGCUAAACAUGGUUGAUACACCUGGACAUGCUGAUUUUGGUGGUGAAGUUGAGCGAGUUGUUGGCAUGGUUGAAGGUGCAAUUUUAGUUGUAGAUGCUGGUGAAGGCCCACUUGCCCAGACAAAGUUUGUUCUUGCUAAAGCAUUGAAGUAUGGGCUUCGCCCAAUUCUACUUUUAAACAAAGUAGAUCGGCCUGCAGUUUCUGAGGAGAGGUGUGAUGAAGUUGAGAGCCUUGUGUUUGAUCUAUUUGCCAAUCUGGGUGCUACAGAGGAACAGCUGGAUUUUCCUGUUCUUUAUGCUUCCGCUAAAGAGGGCUGGGCAUCUUCCACCUUCACUAAAGAUCCUCCUACUGAUGCAAAGAAUAUGUCACAGUUGCUUGAUGCUAUCAUAAGGCAUGUUCCACCACCAAAAGCAAGCCUUGAUGCUCCUUUUCAGAUGCUGGUUUCCAUGAUGGAAAAAGACUUCUAUCUUGGGCGGAUAUUAACCGGACGUGUUGCUUCUGGAGUCCUUCGUGUUGGGGACAGGGUGCAUGGACUACGUUCCACAGAUUCAGGGGUUGUGAAAAUUGAAGAGGGAAAGGUUAUGAAGCUAAUGAAGAAGAAGGGUACAAACACAGUUCUCAUCGAUAGUGCUGGAGCUGGUGACAUUAUAUCAAUGGCUGGUAUGGCAAUUCCAUCAAUAGGCCAUACAUUGGCAAAUGUGGAGGUGAUGACUGCAUUACCGACUGUUGAGUUGGACCCUCCAACCAUUUCCAUGACCUUUGGUGUAAACGAUUCUCCACUAGCUGGCCGAGAUGGUACCCACUUGACUGGAGGAAAAAUUGGUGAUCGUUUAAUGGCUGAAGCUGAAACUAACCUUGCCAUAAAUGUCAUUCCUGGUUUGUCAGAAUCAUAUGAAGUUCAAGGGAGAGGGGAACUUCAACUCGGUAUUUUGAUAGAGAAUAUGAGGCGGGAAGGGUUUGAGCUGUCUGUAUCACCACCUAAAGUCAUGUAUAAAACACAGAAUGGCCAGAAGCUUGAACCAAUUGAAGAAGUAACCAUUGAGAUAAAUGAAGAGCAUGUGGGAUUAGUUAUGGAAGCUCUAUCUCACAGACGUGCUGAAGUUCUUGAUAUGGGCCCAGUGCCUGGACAUCUGGGUAGGACUAGAUUGGCUUUGACUUGUCCAUCAAGGGGCCUGGUUGGUUAUAGGAGUGUGUUCAGCAGUGAUACACGUGGAACUGGAUUUAUGCAUCGAGCUUUCCUGACCUAUGAAAAAUAUCGGGGCCCACUUGGAAAUGUUAGGAAGGGAGUAUUGGUAUCAAUGGGCUAUGGUACAGUCACAGCUUAUGCAUUAAUGAGUUUGGAAGCUCGUGGAACACUCUUUGUUACUCCUGGAAUGGAGACAUAUGAUGGCAUGAUUGUGGGUGAACAUUCGCGUGAUACAGAUCUCGAUAUCAACCCGGUUAGGGCUAAGGAGCUCUCUAACAUGCGUGCUGCUGGCAAAGAUGAGAAUGUGAAACUAUCUCCACCUCGAUUGAUGACUCUUGAAGAAGCCAUUGGCUAUGUUGCUUCCGAUGAGCUUAUUGAGGUUACGCCUAAGGCCAUUCGUUUGAGAAAAAGAUACCUGGAUGUCAAUAAGCGCAAAGCCAUGAGUAAGAGGCCGAAGGAAUGAAAUCAAUCGAACACAACUCUGUAACUUAUACCUCUCAAUUCUUGAAUUCUGCGGAGCAGUUAACCUAAAUAUAGCAAUCAGAAAGCCAUUCUACUGGCUACAUAGCUUACUAAAAGAUCAAUGGAAUUUAUUCUUUCCUCAAACCAAAUUGAAACGAUGGAUUGUAGUCAACAAUCAAUGGAGUUUCACAGAAGAAAAGCCGUUUUGAAUUGUUUUUAUUUCAUUUGUUUAAUUCUGUAACAGUAGAUGGGUGUAUUGACGAUCUUGUCAACGAUGAAAAAUGAAAAGCAAGAUCCAUUCCUUGAUUGUUAACAUCAGAAUUCCAGAAGGAAUUGUAAAACACAAGAAAAGUUCAGAACUUGAGCCGUUAAUUAAGAAUAUUCCAAGAAGAGUGCAACUCCAAAACAAAUAAGAACAAUUCAAAGCGGCUUUUCUUCUGUGAGAAUGAAACUAUCCUUUCAGGCCAACCAGCUUUUCUAAUUUUUAAUUAAUUUAUUUUAUAA